ACAUGGCAAGACUAAGCUUUUAUAUCUCUGAAAAGCAGCUCCUCUGAGUACAACAGCAUUUUCAGGAAUGCAAGCACAGCCUGCAGUCAAGCAUGCCUUCAGAACUCAGACUCCUAGCUCAUGGGAUUAGGGAGAAGAUCAGCUCAUCCUGGCAACUGGCUGUUGCUCCCCUCCUAGGAUGGCAUGGCCACGCUGAACCCUAGCCCUAUACAGGAACACAGGACACAGACAAGGACUUACGCCAUUGGCUCCCCAGUUCUCAGGCCUCUCAACUCAGGUGAAUUACACCAGCUUCUCCAGCUUUCCAGCUUGCAGACAGCAGGUCAUGGGAUAUCUUGACCUCCAUAAUCAUUUUGUCUCUUCCAGAAUCAAAGCUGUAAAACUACAAAUCUUUCUUCAAAUGGAGCCCCAGAUGCAGCCCAUGACUAAGAUCUACCACAGACCCCUGGACCGACUUGCUAGCCCAUGCUCUGUUGUUGAUGACAUCGAAGGCACUCCUCCUGAGGAAAUCUCAACUGCACAACCCCUACUACACCCCAAUUCAGCAGGAAGCAGUUAGAGCAAUCAUCAGCCAACCUCCCCAAUAGCACUUGAGUUUUCAUGUUGAGGGGGCUACUGAGAGACAGGACUAGCUGGAUUUCCUAGGCCGACAAAGAAUUCCUAAGCCUAGCUGGGAAGGUGACCACACCCAUCUUUAAACACGGGGCUUGUAACUCAGUUCACACCCGACAAAUCAGGUAGUAAAGAGCGGCUCACUAAAAUACCAAUUAAGCUAAAGGCAGGAGGUAAAAGAAACAGUCAAUCAUCUAUCACCUGAGAACACAGAGGGAGAGACAAUGAUUGGGAUAUAAACCCCAGGCAUUCGAGCCAGGGGUGGGCAACCCCCUUUGGGUCCCCUCCCA